AGUAAUUUAUUUUUUUUACAAAUAUAUUUAAAGUACAUGUCGUGAGGAGCACUGUUCUUUGUCGAGAGAAAUGGAGUGGUCUUUCUCUUCAUCUCAAGGAAUGCUCUUCAUCAACGAGAGCAGUGGAGUCGCCUCUCAUUGUCAAAAGCAAUGGAGUUGCCUCUCACUGUCUUUCCAUUAAUUGUGAGUAGUCAUUGUUGAUGAGAGUAGUGGAGCAUCCAAAGGAGGAAAGGUCUUCAUCGACGAGAGUGACACAAGAAAAGUUGGUCUUUGUCGUGAGAGUAUGAGACGACGACGAAGAAGAUGCUAUCAACGAUUUUUAAGAUGCGAGAUGGAGAUGAGAAAGAAGAAAGAGGGUGGGAUGGAUGGCAAUGUAAGGUGAAGCGAGAAAAGUGAAUUUAGGGUC
rnacentral:lncRNA from 1 species